rnacentral:rRNA from 1 species
GACGAACGCUGGCGGCGUGCUUAACACACGCAAGUCGAACGAUGAAGCCGGAGCUUGCUCUGGUGAAUUAGUGGCGAACGGGUGAGUAACACGUGAGUAACCUGCCCUUGACUCUGGGAUAACUGCUAGAAAUGGUAGCUAAUACCGGAUACGACCCUCGGAGGCAUCUCCAGGGGGUGGAAAGAAUUUCGGUCAAGGAUGGACUCGCGGCCUAUCAGCUAGUUGGUGAGGUAAUGGCUCACCAAGGCGACGACGGGUAGCCGGCCUGAGAGGGUGACCGGCCACACUGGGACUGAGACCCGGCCCAGACUCCUACGGGAGGCAGCAGUGGGGAAUAUUGCACAAUGGGCGCAAGCCUGAUGCAGCAACGCCGCGUGAGGGAUGACGGCCUUCGGGUUGUAAACCUCUUUUAGUAGGGAAGAAGCGAAAGUGACGGUACCUGCAGAAAAAGCACCGGCUAACUACGUGCCAGCAGCCGCCGUAA